GACGAACGCUGGCGGCGUGCUUCAUACAUGCAAGUCGAACGAGAAGCUGACUUCGGUCAGCGGACAGUGGCGGACGGGAGCGUAAUAUGUAGGAAAUCUGCCUUUAGGAGGGGGACAACAGCGGGAAACUUCUGCUAAUACCCCAUAUGAGCGUAGCUGAAAUGCUAUUCUUGAAAACUUCGAUGCGUAAAGAUGAGCCUGCAUCUGAUUAGCUAGUUGGUAGUGUAAUGUACUACCAAGGAGACGAUAAGUAGCUGGUGUGAGAGGAUGAUCAGCAACAAUGGGACGGAGACACGGCCCAUACUCCUCCGGGAGGCAGCAGUAGGGAAUUGUGCGCAAUGGGCUGAAGCCUGACGCAGCAACGCCGCGUGAACGAUUAAGCCCUUCGGGGUGUAAAGUUCUGUCAGUGGGGACGUAACUUGACGGUACCCACAGAGGAAGCACCGGCUAACUCCGUG
rnacentral:rRNA from 1 species